rnacentral:rRNA from 1 species
AUUGAACGCUGGCGGCAGGCCUAACACAUGCAAGUCGAGCGGAUGAAGGGAGCUUGCUCCUGGAUUCAGCGGCGGACGGGUGAGUAAUGCCUAGGAAUCUGCCUGGUAGUGGGGGAUAACGUCCGGAAACGGGCGCUAAUACCGCAUACGUCCUGAGGGAGAAAGUGGGGGAUCUUCGGACCUCACGCUAUCAGAUGAGCCUAGGUCGGAUUAGCUAGUUGGUGGGGUAAAGGCCUACCAAGGCGACGAUCCGUAACUGGUCUGAGGGGAUGAUCAGUCACACUGGAACUGAGACACGGUCCAGAAUCCUACGGGAGGCAGCAGUGGGGAAUAUUGGACAAUGGGCGAAAGCCUGAUCCAGCCAUGCCGCGUGUGUGAAGAAGGUCUUCGGAUUGUAAAGCACUUUAAGUUGGGAGGAAGGGCAGUAAGUUAAUACCUUGCUGUUUUGACGUUACCAACAGAAUAAGCACCGGCUAACUUCGUG